AACGAACGCUGGCGGCAUGCCUAACACAUGCAGGUCGAACGAGACCUUCGGGUCUAGUGGCGCACGGGUGCGUAACGCGUGGGAACCUGCCCUUAGGUUCGGAAUAACUCCCCGAAAGGGGUGCUAAUACCGGAUAAUGUCUUCGGACCAAAGAUUUAUCGCCUUUGGAUGGGCCCGCGUUGGAUUAGCUAGUUGGUAGGGUAAAAGCCUACCAAGGCGACGAUCCAUAGCUGGUCUGAGAGGAUGAUCAGCCACACUGGGACUGAGACACGGCCCAGACUCCUACGGGAGGCAGCAGUGGGGAAUAUUGGACAAUGGGCGAAAGCCUGAUCCAGCAAUGCCGCGUGAGUGAUGAAGGCCUUAGGGCUGUAAGGCUCUUUUACCCGGGAUGAUAAUGACAGUACCGGGAGAAUAAGCUCCGGCUAACUCCGUG
rnacentral:rRNA from 1 species